rnacentral:rRNA from 1 species
ACAGGGUGACAGCCCCGUACACAAAAAUGCACAUACUGUGAGCUCGAUGAGUAGGGCGGGACACGUGGUAUCCUGUCUGAAUAUGGGGGGACCAUCCUCCAAGGCUAAAUACUCCUGACUGACCGAUAGUGAACCAGUACCGUGAGGGAAAGGCGAAAAGAACCCCGGCGAGGGGAGUGAAAAAGAACCUGAAACCGUGUACGUACAAGCAGUGGGAGCACGCUUAGGCGUGUGACUGCGUACCUUUUGUAUAAUGGGUCAGCGACUUAUAUUCUGUAGCAAGGUUAACCGAAUAGGGGAGCCGAAGGGAAACCGAGUCUUAACUGGGCGUUAAGUUGCAGGGUAUAGACCCGAAACCCGGUGAUCUAGCCAUGGGCAGGUUGAAGGUUGGGUAACACUAACUGGAGGACCGAACCGACUAAUGUUGAAAAAUUAGCGGAUGACUUGUGGCUGGGGGUGAAAGGCCAAUCAAACCGGGAGAUAGCUGGUUCUCCCCGAAAGCUAUUUAGGUAGCGCCUCGUGAAUUCAUCUCCGGGGGUAGAGCACUGUUUCGGCAAGGGGGUCAUCCCGACUUACCAACCCGAUGCAAACUGCGAAUACCGGAGAAUGUUAUCACGGGAGACACACGGCGGGUGCUAACGUCCGUCGUGAAGAGGGAAACAACCCAGACCGCCAGCUAAGGUCCCAAAGUCAUGGUUAAGUGGGAAACGAUGUGGGAAGGCCCAGACAGCCAGGAUGUUGGCUUAGAAGCAGCCAUCAUUUAAAGAAAGCGUAAUAGCUCACUGGUCGAGUCGGCCUGCGCGGAAGAUGUAACGGGGCUAAACCAUG